rnacentral:rRNA from 1 species
UACGGAGGAUGCAAGCGUUAUCCGGAAUGAUUGGGCGUAAAGCGUCCGCAGGUGGCAAUGUAAGUCUGCUGUUAAAGAGUCUAGCUCAACUAGAUAAAAGCAGUGGAAACUACAUAGCUAGAGUACGUUCGGGGCAGAGGGAAUUCCUGGUGUAGCGGUGAAAUGCGCAGAUAUCGGGAAGAACACCCGUGGCGAAGGCGGCUCUCUGGGACGGUACUGACGCUGAGACGCGAAAGCGUGGGGAGCGAACAGG